UGUGUGUGUGUAUUUGUGUGUGUGUGUGUGUGUGUGUGUGUGUAUGUGUGUGUGUGUAAGUUUAGCGCCUUGCUAGGCACCCUCCAGAUACUAAGCAGGAAAAUAGGAAAUGGAUGCUUAGCUUGUUCUGCCUCUUUCUGACUGGUCCAAGUGAAACAACCCUAGGAAAAGUGAAGUGCCAACUAGUAUCACCCUCUGCAUCUUGCUUUACAGUUUACUGCCUUUGACCUUGCAGAUGCCAUCUCUGUGUAGGAGGUCUGAGGCAUACUCCUCUUGUCUGAUCAUUGUCAAAUGAGACUAUACAUGGAUAUCUGGCACAAUUGAUACUGUUUAGAAAGGACAGAUCUUCCUGUAAUGUUUAAUCUAUUAUCGAAAAGCUUUUCUGAUAUGCUAGAGCACCCAGUUUCUGGUCAUUUACCCAAACAGAACACAAUUUCCGUAGGGUUCCUUUUUUCCUUUUAAGGUGAAUGAUAUUUUGCUUGCAUCUGUCUAUCACUUCCAUGGCUGUACUCACAGAGGCCAGAACAGAGCAUCAGAUUCCCCAGAACUGUAGAUAACAGACCGUUUGGAGAUACUAUGUGGAUACUGGGAAUUCAAUCUGGACCCUUUGAAAGAGCAGCUAAUGGUCUUAAGCAUUGACCAAUCUCUCUAGCCUUAUUUAUUGUAUUUGUGAAUUGAUCUUUUAGUUCAUUUAUUGUCAGUCAGGAUAAUUCAUGUGACAAGUCAAAAUAUAGUCCAAUACAUUUAAGUGAUUUUGAUGCUACAGCUCUGAUGAAUGUCAACUUUGCUACCUAGCAUGAUUUCAGUGGAUGUUGAUUUCCCUGCUGGUCAUUUUAAAACGGUAUGUAAUAUUUGUUUUGAUUUUUAGUUAACUGAAGGUCUGCUUGAAAGAGUGGUUUUUUAAAAUGUCAAGUGGAUAGAAAGGAGACAGAGCUGUCCUUUAAACCUAUGCAUUUUUUCCUAAGGCCAAACAAGUCCACAGAAAUCUAGGCUUUCUCUGAGAGGCUCUCAUGGAAAAUAAGUGGCUAGGCCCCUACUCUUUCCACAUAAUCAUUCUUCAGGUAUGUCAUGAAUAGUUAUUAACGGUAAUUCGUUGUCUUGCAGAGAACCUGAGUUCAAGGCCCAGCACCCAGAUGGCAUCUGAUGACUGGCCAAUAGCAGCUCAAGGGUGCCUGAUGCCUUCUGGCCUUUGAGGUCUUCGCAUGCACCCGGUACACAUACAUGCAGGCAAAAUACAUAAUGAAAUAAAAUGCAAAAACUUUAAAAAUGCAACACAUUGAAAAUAUUUGGCCUUGUCAAUGAGAAAAGGGAAGUGAAGACAAUAUGAAGAUGAGGAAUACAAGAGCAUCCUGUCAUCGACAGUGCCUGAGGGCUGGGAAAAUGGCAAGCACUUGCUGUACAAGCAUGAGGGUCUGAGUUUGGAUUCCAAGCCUGACAUAGUAGUAUACCGAUCUGUAACUCCUAUUCUUUUAUGGGGAAAUGGAAGAUAGAGACAAGACAGGAGCCUUGCUUACAAAGUGGUGAGCAACGAAGACUCCCUGCCUCUAACAAGGUACCUAAGGAUGUCUUGUGACCUCCACACACAUGCUGUCAUACAUGUGGAAACACCUGCACUUACACAGGCAUGCACACACAUAUCACACAUGACUGGGACAAAUGUGUCUAGUUGGUGUGAUAAGUCUACCCAAACCAGUUACAUCCUGGUACCUUGCAUUUUGCAUUAUUACAGAAUUUCCAAAGGGCUGAGUCCCUGCUCCUUGUAUAGUGAUAAACUAGUCAAGUUUAGCUUUAUACAAAAUAGUAGUCCAUUCUCUCUUGAUUGGUAAGAGGGAUGCAGUAUGCUGGCUUGGAUAUAUUUGGGUUGAACACAUAUGUAUCAUACAUUUUUUUGUUUACCCUUUCCAACCCUUUCAGUAUCUAGGGAAGAGAAGCUAUACACCAGUGAGUUUCUUUCUCUUUCUGGCUUCUUGUAGAUUUGAGCAAUGGAAUCCCUGGCAGGACAUCAGAAGGAAGGAACUGUGGUCGUCCUGUUCAUUCUUGCCUUUCUCCUUGCAGGAUUGCCAAUGGCUGGCUAUUGUACCAGAACUAAAUGUCAUAUCUCUCCUCAUGGGAAUCCUCAUUACUACAUGUACUUCUUUUUUUUAAAUGGUAGCUGUUCUUUCUCUCCUUUUGGACAGAGAAUAGAAGCAGUCCCAAGUUAUUUCCCCCACCCCUUGCCAUCCCCUCCCUGGCUUUACUAUUCUGCCAAAACCAUAUAGAUAGUCCUUUCAUUAAACUUUCUACUAAUUAUAAUUUGAGCGUGCCAUCUGUCUCCUGUCAGGACCCUGAGUGAUGUAGAUGAAGUCUUAAUUCUCAAAGAAUUAGAAUACAAUGAAAUAAACCUAACAGAAUAUGACCAAAUAUGAUUCCGUCUCUCUCUCUCUCUGAUUAAUCUUGGCUUUUACAAUGCUUUCAGAUAAUCAUCAGAUAAGACAAGCAAGGGCUGUAGUCUUCAGAUAACUAUGGAUGUGCAGAAGUGUCAGUUUACAGAAUACUAAUUACUAUCAUUUAUUCCUGACUGUCUCCAUGUGUUGUGUUAUGCAGGCUUUAUGUUCGGUGGCCUCCUCGGCAACCUUAUGAAGAAUGCACAUUUAUUUUUGAGACAGCUUUUAUGUAUAUUGGAUUGGCCUUUAACUUGCUAUUAUUAUGUUGCCAGGGUUAAAUCUGAACUCCUGACCCUUCUGCCUCCACUUUUCAAGUGCUGGAAUGACAGACGGCUGCCCUGCCCUGAAUUUCAGACCUACCAGCAACUCCAGUUGAUGCUAUUUCUUGGUGGCAUAUUUGUACAAUGGAAUGUUACUCAUCUUAAAGGAAUGCUGGGCUGAUAUAUACUACAAUGUGGAUGAACCUUGAGCAUACCAUGGCUAAGUAAAAGAAGCCAUGAAAGUUAUACAUAUUGUACAAGUCCAUGAAAUGCCUAUGCUUUGAUUUGCCUGUAAUUUGAGCGUUCUUCCAGGUUUUCAUGUAUUGAAAUUAAUGCCUGUCAUGAAGUAUGAAGCGUUUGGAAACAUAAUCUAAUUAUAGUGUUUAGAGUCUUCAGGGAGUGAAUGAUUGUGAUUAGAUAAUGUAUUAGAGUGGAGGCUCUAAGAUGGAUUUCUCGUUGCUUAUAAGAAGGAAGGAGGAUACACAAACGCAUGGGCACUCACUGUUUCUUCCAAUGCUGUCACCUGUGCCACCUGGGAACACUUACUGAUAAGGAAGUCAUCAUCAGAUACGAUCCAUCUCCUUUCAAUCAGAACUAAUAACCAAAAUAAAUUCAUUUUCUUCAUGAGUCACCGAGUUUGUGGUUUAAUACCUAUUGGCAAAAGAAACGGAUGAAUAUAGUCUAGAAUAGGCAAAUAUAUUGAGAUGCAAAGUACAUUAGUAGUUACUUCAUCUAGGAGAAGGUACAUGUGGAAUGGGUGUUUAAUGGAUAUUGGCUUCUUUGGGGGAGUGAAGUAAUGUUCUGGAACUAGAUUAUUGUAAUGAAUAAAUGGCUUUGAACUAAGA
rnacentral:sRNA from 1 species